AAUUUGACUUUCUGUUUCUUCUUAUCAAACAAGAAACAUCAGAAAAGCAAACAAGUCAACGGAAGUUGUUCUUGUUUAAUAAAAAAAAAUAAAUCGAAUGCCUCUUUUUUUUAUUCAUUUCGAAAUAUCCCCUAAUUUUUGU